rnacentral:rRNA from 1 species
UACGAAGGGUGCAAGCGUUACUCGGAAUUACUGGGCGUAAAGCGUGCGUAGGUGGUUUGUUAAGUCUGUUGUGAAAGCCCCGGGCUCAACCUGGGAAUGGCAAUGGAUACUGGCAGGCUAGAGUGCGGUAGAGGGUAGUGGAAUUCCCGGUGUAGCGGUGAAAUGCGUUGAUAUCGGAAGGAACGCCGGUGGCGAAAGCGGUCCGCUAGGCCUCUUCUGACGCUGAGGCGCGAAAGCCAGGGGAGCAAACAGG